AAUAAGUUUGAUUUCUUGGCUUCAGGACGAACGUCUGGGCGGCGUGCCUCAAUACAUGCAAGUCUAUCAGAUUUUUUUUUCCUGCCUCAGGGAUGAUCCCCGGAGAGGGUACAUAACGCAUACAAGUCGAGUGAUAUUUUGGGAGAGAGCGGCGCACGGGGGAGUAACGCGUGGGUACACGUGCCUAUGUACAGUAUAGAUAACAUUUUCGAAAGGUAUGAUAAUUGGGGAUCACUUAUGAGUGUCGCAUGGAUUUUGUAUCAAAGCAUUAGCGGUACUGGUAUGGACCCGCGUCUCAAAAGCUAGUUGGUAAGGUAAUGGCUUACCAAGGCAUCGAUCAGUAGGCGACCUGAGAGGGUGAUCGACCCCACUGGGAGGGAGCAGUGGUGCAGACUCGUCAAGGAGGCAGCAGUGGGGAAUAUUGCACAAUGGGAGAAAACAAGAUGCAGCAAUCCUGCGUGAGUGUUGAAGGCCUUCGGGUCGUAAAGAGUUGUCCUCAAGGAAGAUAACGGUGUUUCUUGAGGAGGAACCCCCGGCUAACGUGGCAGCAGCACCCGGUGGUAAUUAGUAGGGGGCUAGUGUUAUCCGGAAUUGGGGGUAAAAAAGGGUCAGUAGGUUUUUUUUUAAGUCAGAAGAAGCCCCCGGCGGCUCCGGGGUAGUAAGCUUUAAAACUAGAGAACGAGAGCAGAGGAGAGGAGAGUAGUAUUCACUAGUGUAGCGGUGAAAUGUGUAGAUAUGGGGAGGCACCACAGUAGAGAAGGCGUCUCUGGUCUGUGUAACUCACUGAGAGGCGAAAAAGCGUGGGGAGCACACAGGAUUAGAUACCGUGGUAGUCACACGCCGUAAACGAAGAGUAAUAGGUUCGGGGGUUACCCCCCUCGGUGCCGCAGCUAACGCAUAAGACUCCGCCGGGAGGG
rnacentral:rRNA from 1 species